rnacentral:rRNA from 1 species
AUUGAACGCUGGCGGCAGGCCUAACACAUGCAAGUCGAGCGGAGCGACCGACGGGUGAGUAAUGCCUAGGAAUCUGCCUGGUAGUGGGGGAUAACGUACUGAAACGGACGCUAAUUCCGCAUACUAUCUGUUGAACCUACGUGGGAUUAGCUAGUUGGUGGGGUAAAGGCGUACCAAGGCGACGAUCCGUAGCUGGUCUGAGAGGAUGAUCAGCCACACUGGAACGGAGACACGGUCCAGACUCCUACGGGAGGCAGCAGUGGGGAAUAUUGGACAAUGGGCGAAAGCCUGAUCCAGCCAUGCCGCGUGUGUGAAGAAGGUCUUCGGAUUGUAAAGCACUUUAAGUUGGGAGGCGUUACCAACAGAAUAAGCACCGGCUAACUUCGUGCCAGCAGCCGCGGUAAUAC